UGCUCCCUUGAGGCAGCUGUUGUAUAUUAUUUGCAUAUCAGUAAAGCCUAAAAAUGUCACUUCACAACAUGAACGAUUACAGGAUCUUGAGAUGAGGACAAAGAAACGUUGAUGGUGUAAAGUAAGAAAAAACAUCUUGGUAAAAUUCUUGCAGUUGCAGGUACGUCAGGUCUUUGUAGACCUGUAAUGGGAAUGGAGAUAAAGCCAAAUCUCAAAAAAGGUGACUUC